UACGGGAGGCAGCAGGGGGAAUAUUGCACAAUGGGCGAAAGCCUGAUGCAGCUAUGCCGCGUGUAUGAAGAAGGCCUUAGGGUUGUAAAGUACUUUCAUCGGGGAGGAAAAAACAAAACUAAUAAUUUUAUUUCUUGACGUUACCCGAAAAAGAAGCACCGGCUAACUCCGUGCCAGCAGCCGCGGUAAUACGGAGGGUGCUAGCGUUAAUCAGAAUUACUGGGCGUAAAGAGCACGUAGGUGGUUUUUUUAAAGUCAGAUGUGAAAUCCCUGGGCUUAACCUAGGAACUGCAUUUUGAAACUGAAAUACUAGAGUAUCGUAGAGGGAGGUAGAAUUCUAGGUGUAGCGGUGAAAUGCGUAGAUAUCUGGAGGAAUACCUGUGGCGAAAGCGGCCUCCUAAACGAAUACUGACACUGAGGGUGCGAAAGCGUGGGGAGCAAACAGGGAUUAGAUA
rnacentral:rRNA from 1 species